UAAAGAUAGUCCAUCGGGUACCAUUAUUGAACCACCAUUCAAUUCAGCUGCUAUGGCGCUCAUCUGUUAAUUAAAUAUAGAUAUAAAUUACCGCUAUCCUGUGAUUCAAUUCUAUAUACAAUAAUUUUAUAUACAAGAAUUAAUAAAAAUUUCUCAAUUCAUAAAAUUAUGAAAACUUAAAAAAUCAACAUUUCGAAGCAUAAUAUAAGAUAAAAAUAAAACCGUAUUAAAAAGCUCUCCAUUAUAAACUUUUAUGUUUUAUUAUAAUUAAUAACUUCUCAAAACAACAACAACAACAAUAACAACAACAGCACCAAGAAAAAUAUUACUAUAGUGAUAAUUCUACAGCAACAGUGUCAGUUAUUCCAUCAUAUUUCGGGAUCAUAUUUAAAAACUUAUAAGUAAAGUACGUAAAACUGCAAGUUAUAAGUUAAACUUUGGGAUGUUGAAUACCGUAUGUUUCACGGCCUACAAAAUGGAUCUCCAAAAUUUAACAAGAUAUCGUAAUUGGCAGAUGAUUUUACAAUUGUUGCUUACGAUCGCUGUAAAUAAAAAUAAGUUAACACUAUGAGCUAUUAUGAUUAUUAAUUAUUCAUCGAAGGUUUCGAGUGGUUUUGCCAAACAAAAGGAUGGGUAUUUUCAACAGAAAGACAGAGACCACGUUUUUUUCGUUUCAAUCCUCACGGACAUGAAUGAAAACCGCUAUUACUGUGAAUAUAUGUGUUUUGUUGACCAAAAGGAAGAACCUGUUGAUUAGUCGUGCUCCAUUUUCAACUAUUCCAACAAUUGCACAUUGUAAAAUUAUGUAUGCACCCUAUAUCUGGUAUCAGUUUCAAGGUUGGAUUAUAUUGAAAACUUUCAGAAAUGUUUGGGUAUUAUUUAUACGGUGUGCAUUAAAAAUCAUAGUUGGAAAUAUACCGGUAUGUACUCAAGUACCAUCAGUAGGCGGUCUGCAAGUUCGUUUGAUAGGAAUCCGUAUUGAAUUAGUAUAAUUUUUUGCGGUAAUGAUCAAACAAAAAAUUUUGCUUCAUUUUGCUAGGCUACACUAAACUUAUUGACAGAUGUAUUCAUUAUUUGCUGCUCCUGUUAAAAUUUUCUACACGCCAACACUAUUUGUUAUGUGUACGUGGUUCUUAAGUGCAAGAGACAGCUACAUUUAUGAGCGCCAUAGCAGCUGAAUUGAAUGGUGGUUCAAUAAUGGUACCCGAUGGACUAUCUUUAGCUCUUCUUCCUGAACCACUGUUAUUGUUAUUAAAAAUACAAGACGCUUUAUCACUUGUUCUUUAGCCACAACUAAUUUCCGCGAGAUGAUAAAAGAUGAAUAUAAUAUAAAAGAUAAUUAUAUUUUUAUGAUAAGUAAGUUACCAAUAAUGAGUAGUUAUUAAGGCUAUACUAUAAUGUUUUAGUAUUGCAAUAUAAACUAUUGAUAUUAAAUUUUAAAAACCAAAUUUUUAACAACAUGAUAUUUUGGAGCUCAGAACCACAUGAAAAGAUUAGCAUUUCUAAAUUUUUUGGUUCUUUGAAAAUUUAAGACUUACUUUAGUAAAUAUUUUUAAAAAUGAAAAAUUUUUUGAUUCUGUCACUAAAUUUUGAUUAACUUAAAGGAACUCGACGCUGUUUCUAAGGACAAGAAAUGGUACAGAGAGACAAUAAAUAAUAGGUCAGAAAAUCUCAAAGUAAUGUUUAAAAAACUUGAAAUUUAAAAAUUUUAUUAAGGUAUAUGAAAAAUAUUUUCUAAAUUUUAAACAGAAAAAAUAUGAAUUAACUUAUGGGGAACUUUUCAAUACGGUUUUAAUCUUA